UACUAAACCCGACCGAAGUGAGAUGCCGGUUUUUCAUCGGCAGAAACGGGGGCGGGACCAACC
rnacentral:sRNA from 1 species